AGGCAUCCCUUCUUUUUUGUUUUUUAAACACCUCCCCUCAUGGAUGGCAUUCUGGAAAAAGGAGUAUGCUAGGGUGCCUGGGUACAUAUAUCCAUACUCACCCAUACUCAGACUAUACCUAUCUAUGUGUGUCUGUUGGUAUUAGGCCAACAAAAUUGCCAAUAUAAUUAUACUUACAAAAAUGGCAAGUAUAUCAAAAUAUAACUGGUAUUGUAAUCACCAAUUUUAUUGUCUGAGAUAUACAGCAGCUCUACAGGAGUGGAAGUCCAUAUGUUAAUUUAGGCAUUCCCUUGGUUUUAUACACAAUGUUCUCUGGAAAACUUGUAGGAAGUGAAAUGUAUAAGGUUUUAAAUAAGAUUACGUGUCUGUUUUGUUACCAGAGAACUAAAAAAUAUUCUAACAUCUCUAAUCACACCUUACCUUUUAGGCAUUGUCAUCAUUGAUUCAUACAUUUUGUACAUGUUCUUUCAUUUUGUUAUUUCCCUUCAGAACAUAGCACAAGGUUGACCAGCUUGAAGUCAAUGAGCAUCUGAUUGAGGCUAAUGACUUAUCACUUUCCGCAGGCCUAAUGAUUUCUCUCUUUGUCUCAGUUGCAUUGAGUUAAUAAGACCUCUGCUUCUUAUCACGGUAUCAGCACUUUCAUUGUUCUUUUCUCUGCUCAUUUUGUAACCCAAUAAGGAAAAAAAUGCAAUAAAAUAUUCAUAUAAUUGUACAAACAUUGCUUUAUCUUCAGAAAUGAGAUGCAUCUGGGCAGCAGUGCUGCUGUGAAAUAGCCAACCAAGUAGAGAUGCAAAAAAUUUCUUGUUUGUGGAGUUAAAUCAAUAAAGUAUCAAUGCAUGGAUUGCUUAGAAGUUGGAUACAUGGAAAUGACACACACCUAUCACAGUUUUAUAGUUGGCCCUCAGGCAUAUAUUGUGUGUCCGAAGCUGGGACCAGGAACCAGUACUCCAAACUAAUGUUCUUUAAUUUAUUCAGCAAAUUAUUUAUUGAACACCUGCUAUUAUAUGCAAGAUGCUGUUCUAGGUGGUAAUAUUCUGUCCCAUGUGAUCCUGAACUAGAGUCUUUAGUGACAGUCCUCUGAUUCUAACUUGAGUUUCAUCCUUGUAACCCCUCUAAUUAGCUCUUUGUCUUUGUGUCUGAUGUUUUCUACUCUGGUGCUGCUUUUGAAAGAAAUUUUUGCUUGCAACAUGUACCCACUUAGAUUUUUCUGUUCUCUAGGAGUGGAAGCCAGGCCAUAUCAGACUUUCAGCAUCUCCAUUAAUGUGGCCACAUUGCUCUGCAGUGUAGACAGGGAGCCUUGGAAGAAUCUCUGUUGAGUAAUGAUGAUAAAUGUUUGCAGCCCCUAUAGCCAAGCAUUAAAAUGUAGCACUCUCAAGUGAUAACCAAAUGGCAAGAGAAAUUCUUUCCUGUUGUUCUACCUCUAGUCUCAACAUUGUUUGGUCCGGUAGGAAAGAAACUUUCAUGAAGUGGUGUGGAAAAUGAGUUUGCUCUGUAAAUGAGUCACAGGUUGUGUUCUUAGAAGUAGGCACCGAGGUGGAGCUUAGUGUGAAGGAUGUUUAUUAGAAAUCAACACCUAUGGAAGGGAGGAGGAGGAAGCAAGGUUGGGUAGAGGAAAAAGUUGAACUGUGAUAUAGUCUCACAGGCUGGGAUAAAAUAUUUACAAAAUAUGUAUCUGAUAAAUGACUUGUAGCCAAAAUAUACAGAGAAUUCUUAAAGCUAAACAAUAAGAAAACAAACAACCAAAUUAAAGAAUCUAAACAAUCACCUCACUAAGUAAGCGUAUGAAAGUAAGUAAAGAUAGUAAGGAGGCAUAUCAAAAGAUGCUAAAACAUCAUUUGUCAUUAGGGAACUGCAAAUUAAAAGAACAGUGAGAUACCACUGCAUACCUACAAACAUGGAAAAAGAAAGCAAGAAGGAAAGAGAGAGAGAGAGAGAAAGCAAGAAAACAAGCAAGAAAGAAAUUAAGAAUAAAAAAGUCCUGAUAGUACCAGUUGCUGACACCAAGGAAGGUCAUGUGAAGACAUAACCAGGAAGAAGGUCCUCACUAAGAACUAGACCGUGCUGGCACCUGAUCUUGGACCUCCAGCCGCUAGAACUGACAUUGGCACUCCCGACUCUUGGACAUUUGAACUCAGACUGGGACUUAUACCAUGGCCCUCCAAGGAUCAGGCCUUUGGACUCAAGCUUAACUACACCGCGGAUUUUCCUGGUUCUCCAGCUUGCAGAUGGCAGAUUGUGGGACCUCACAGCCUCCAUGACCACGAAGAAGCAGGUAGAGAAAGUACUGUAGUCAACUGACGGAAAAAUGGUUUUCUUCAUGGACUCAGCGAAUACCAGCCCGUUUCUUCAUCCUUAGUUGCACAAACCAUCCCCACGUCGGGCUGCUGGUCAAAUGUAGCAGAUCCAGAGAACGGUGCUCAGGAUCCAGAACCGCUAGAUGGAAGAAGUCUGGUUCCUGAGUCAGUGUGUGCAAGGUUGCCUCUCAGACAUCCAAGUACGUUUUAACUGAAUGGGGAAAAAAAGCUUAUAGUGCAUUGAUCCCCCCCUACUCUCCCUCCCCAGUGUCCCUAGAGUUCUCAAGCAUUUUGUGAUUCCUCACACCUUGGUCAGUGAACGCUUCUGAGGAAAACCCAACCAGGAGACAAUAUCUGUCUUUGCAGUUUCAUUUCCUUAAAGGAGGUUCAUGAAAUUCGUAAGUGACAUGUACAUUACCAAAAGAGUUCAUUCUGAAAAAUUCGCCUGUGAUCUAAUAAGUGAUUUUAGCAAAUGGAAUAUUAAGCAAAACACAAGUAUUUGUGGUUGUUUGUAACCCGACAACAAAGUCCCUCAGACAUUAAAGAGUAUAUCAACAUCUGAUAGUAAAACUCUUAAUCCAUUUUCUAGAAACAGCUCAAAUGUUAGGGUUUCGUAGAAUCCUCUAGGGUGAAUUAGCUGUUUAUUCCUCUCUGCUCUCACAGCACUUGAGUCAUAUUUUUGUAAUAGCACAGACCAUGUUGUACUGUAAUUGAUUUGUUUACAUAAUAUUUGUCUCCAGGAUUAUAUUCAUAGUUCCUCAAAGGCAAAGACUAAACCUCAUUUGCCUUUGUCAUCCCCACACCCUGAUCUGGCCCUGCCACAUCCUUGACUGGAAUAUUUGGUUGUUGAAAAAAUGAAUGAAAAUGAAUAAAGGGACAUCUUUCUUGUCCAGUAGAUCAUAUCAUGUGUCCUUAAGGACUGAGGCUAUUUUAUUUAUCAUUAAAAACACUCCAGCACUGUGCAUAGAUCCUAGUACACAGUUGGGGAUUGUUGCUAAAAGCUAAGCAAGGAAGUGAAUGAAUGAAUGAAUGAAUGAAUGAAUGGGUGAAUAAAUAAUGAGGGAAGCAUAUGGCCAACCACAGGUUAUUUUUGAGUGAUUGUCAAAUCCAGUUUUUCCUUCAUUGUGUUGGUAGCUUAUCACUUAGUUUUGUUGUUUAUGAUGUUUUGUUAAUCAAAGAACAAUAUACUUUUAGGCAUUAACUUACAUCACAUUAAUUUGGGCUGAUAGUUUUAGCUUCUCCACCUAAUUUUAAGUCUUGACUUGGUCAUUCAUCAUGUUGGAUGUUUUUCCUAGCUUUGUAUCACUUAUAAAUGUAGUCAACCUAUUCUCAUAUCGCUGACUCUUUGCCAGUUAGGUUCAUGGCACACUUAGGGGGAUAGUCAUUCAACUAUCUAGACUGGGGACUAGCAAACUAUUGCCCAUGGGUCAAAUUCGGCCUGCAGCUAUUUUUGUGAAUAAAGUUUUAUUGGAACACAGCCACACUAUUACGUAUUGUCUAUGGCUGCUUUCACACAACAACGGCAAAAUUGGGUAGUUUGACAAACACUAUAUGGCAGCAAAGUUUAAAAUAUUUAUUGCCUAGCCGUUUAUAGGAAAGGUUUGCUGAUCUUUGCUCCAGGUGAUUAAAUCCAACAAGUGAAUCCACAUUUCAUAUCUUAGGGGUAAAGUCUAAAGGGGGCCCUUGUCUUGUGCCCUGCUGAAACCAAGAUACUUUGUGCUUUGCUAUAGUUUUCCUGUGAUGUCACAGUCACAUUAUCAAGGAAGGAAAUGCAGUAAUGUGGUACAUACACAUCCUGGUGAACCAACAUAAUUCCUAGUGAUCACCUCAUUAGGAGUACAGUGCUCACUGAACAGACACCUACUCACUGUUUUUGGAAUUCUAUCUCUGUGGUAAUGAGUUUGGGGCUACUUAUCCUGUGCUAGAAGAGACUUCAAAUAUGUAGGGAGUGAAUCUCUUUGCCUCUUUGCCUCUCCUUUGUGGCCAUUCCCACAAAGGAAACCUCUGAGAUGCUACAUCAAGCUAACAACUGGCUUUAUCUCUAUGGAUCACAUUUUCCUCGUCUGCAAGAUAUUAUUUUUCGGAGUUAAUAAGAUGAUCAAAGGAGAAAGUGGACGGAUACGAACAACACUAUAAUUGCCUUCAUCUAUUGAGUACUUUUUUGCCAGGCACUGUGCUGAGUGUUUUUACAUGCAUCAUCCCCUUUAAUCCUCAUAAAACCUAGUGAACAUUGCCCCCAUUUUAUAGACCAGACAGAGAGAUUAAGGCAUACCAUUCAUUCAUUCAGCAGGUUAUUUCUUUCUCAGUACAGUGUGCCAGGUACUAUUCUAGCCACUUGGGAUACAUCUUUGGACAAAAUCAACAAACACUUUUGCCCUGGCAUCUGCAGUGGGUCGGUAUGCUCAGUAAGCAACACACUGCACAUAAUAAUACACUUGUUUAGUACGAUAAAAGAUGAUCAGUCCUGUGGUAAAAGAAAGCUUAGAACAGGGAAAGGGAGAUUGAAAGUGCUGGGGUGGUGGAGGGGAGAGAGGGGAGGACAUUUAAAUAGGGUGGUCAGGGCAGUGUCAUUUAGAAGGUGACAGUGUGAACCAAGACUUGAAGGAAACAAGAAUGUUAGCUUCAUGCCCAUCUGGAAGAAGGGCAUACUCAAGGUCACUAAGUUAGGUUUACGGCUCAACCAGGAUUCCCGCUCAACUCUUUUGGACUCCAGAGCCCAAACUUGUAACAACCAGGGUCAGUGAACGUUAGUUCUCUUGUCAGCGCUCACAGAACAUAUGCUGUGCAUGCCUGGUCUUUCCUUUGGCUGUUGCCCUACAUUAAUUCUGGGCUUUACCCUUCCCCAGAGCAUUUGUCCAGGUCGAUGUGGGUGUCGCAUCUCUGUCUCUCUCUGAUCACAUGCUCUGCCUUUGUCACUGGGCCUUCAAAGACCGGAUGUUUUCAGAGGGCCACGGUGCUACUUUUCUGGCUUCACCUUUUUUCUUUCUUACUGGAGCAUUUUGGCAUUUCGUCUUUAUACUCUCUCUUUAGAAUCUUU